CGGAGAUACGCGCUGAAUGACGAAGCUUGCUUUUGAAUUCUUGUGUAUCUUAGUGGCGGACGGGUGAGUAACGCGUGAGCAACCUGCCUUUCAGAGGGGGAUAACGUUUGGAAACGAACGCUAAUACCGCAUGAGACUACGGUACUACAUGGUACAGUGGCCAAAGGAGCAAUCCGCUGAAAGAUGGGCUCGCGUCCGAUUAGAUAGUUGGCGGGGUAACGGCCCACCAAGUCGACGAUCGGUAGCCGGACUGAGAGGUUGAACGGCCACAUUGGGACUGAGACACGGCCCAGACUCCUACGGGAGGCAGCAGUGAGGGAUAUUGGUCAAUGGGGGAAACCCUGAACCAGCAACGCCGCGUGAGGGAAGACGGUUUUCGGAUUGUAAACCUCUGUCCUCUGUGAAGAUAAUGACGGUAGCAGAGGAGGAAGCUCCGGCUAACUACGUGCCAGCAGCCGCGGUAAUACGUAGGGAGCAAGCGUUGUCCGGAUUUACUGGGUGUAAAGGGUGCGUAGGCGGCCCUGCAAGUCAGAAGUGAAAUCCAUGGGCUUAACCCGUGAACUGCUUUUGAAACUGUAGGGCUUGAGUGAAGUAGAGGCAGGCGGAAUUCCCGGUGUAGCGGUGAAAUGCGUAGAGAUCGGGAGGAACACCAGUGGCGAAGGCGGCCUGCUGGGCUUUAACUGACGCUGAAGCACGAAAGCGUGGGUAGCAAAC
rnacentral:rRNA from 1 species